GACGAACGCUGGCGGCGUGCUUAACACAUGCAAGUCGAACGAUGAAGCGGUGCUUGCACCGUGGCUUAGUGGCGAACGGGUGAGUAAUACGUGAGUGACCUACCUUUGACUCUGGGAUAAGCCUGGGAAACUGGGUCUAAUACCGGAUACGACCAAUCUCUGCAUGGGGUGUUGGUGGAAAGCGUUAUGGAGUGGUUUUAGUUGGGCUCACGGCCUAUCAGCUUGUUGGUGAGGUAAUGGCUUACCAAGGCGACGACGGGUAGCCGGCCUGAGAGGGUGACCGGCCACACUGGGACUGAGACACGGCCCAGACUCCUACGGGAGGCAGCAGUGGGGAAUAUUGCACAAUGGGCGCAAGCCUGAUGCAGCGACGCCGCGUGAGGGAUGACGGCCUUCGGGUUGUAAACCUCUGUUAGCAUCGAAGAAGCGAAAGUGACGGUAGGUGCAGAGAAAGCGCCGGCUAACUACGUG
rnacentral:rRNA from 1 species